rnacentral:rRNA from 1 species
CUACGGAGGGUGCAAGCGUUAUUCGGAAUCACUGGGCGUAAAGGACGCGUAGGCGGGUUGGCAAGUCAGAUGUGAAAUCCUACAGCUUAACUGUAGAACUGCAUUUGAAACUGCUAACCUAGAGUAUGGGAGGGGGAGAUGGAAUUAGUGGUGUAGGGGUAAAAUCCGUAGAUAUCACUAGGAAUACCGAAAGCGAAGGCGAUCUCCUGGAACAUAACUGACGCUAAGGCGUGAAAGCGUGGGGAGCAAACAGGAUUAGAAACCCCUGUAGUCC